GACGAACGCUGGCGGCGUGCUUAACACAUGCAAGUCGAACGGAAAGGCCCUGCUUUUGUGGGGUGCUCGAGUGGCGAACGGGUGAGUAACACGUGAGUAACCUGCCCUUGACUUUGGGAUAACUUCAGGAAACUGGGGCUAAUACCGGAUAGGAGCUCCUGCUGCAUGGUGGGGGUUGGAAAGUUUCGGCGGUUGGGGAUGGACUCGCGGCUUAUCAGCUUGUUGGUGGGGUAGUGGCUUACCAAGGCUUUGACGGGUAGCCGGCCUGAGAGGGUGACCGGCCACAUUGGGACUGAGAGACGGCCCAGACUCCUACGGGAGGCAGCAGUGGGGAAUAUUGCACAAUGGGCGGAAGCCUGAUGCAGCAACGCCGCGUGCGGGAUGACGGCCUUCGGGUUGUAAACCGCUUUCGCCUGUGACGAAGCGUGAAUGACGGUAAUGGGUAGAGAAGCACCGGCUAACUACGUG
rnacentral:rRNA from 1 species